CUCCAAAAGGGGAGGAAGUUGAAACUGAGUGGCCCACGAUGGGAAGAGGGGAAGCCCAGGGGUACAGGAGGCCUCUGGGUGAAGGCAGAGGCUAACAUGGGGUUCGGAGCGACCUUGGCCGUUGGCCUGACCAUCUUUGUGCUAUCUGUCAUCACUGUCAUCAUCUACUUCACCUGCUCCUGCUGCUGCCUGUAUAAGACGUGCCGCCGACCACGUCCGGUUGUCACCACCACCACAUCCACCACUGUAGUGUAUGCCCCUUAUCCUCAGCCUCCAAGUGUGCCGCCCAGCUACCCUGGACCAAGCUACCAGGGCUACCACACCAUGCCGCCUCAGCCAGGGAUGCCAGCAGCACCCUACCCAACGCAGUAACCACCUUACCUGGCCCAGCCCAUGGGCCCGCCGAGACCCCGAGACCCCGGCUGGAGGAGCAGCCGCACCCUACCCCGCCAGCCAGGCUCCUUACAACCCGGCCUACAUGGAUGCCCCGAAGGUGGUCCUCUGA